rnacentral:lncRNA from 1 species
UUUAAUAAAAAUAAAUAAAUGCUUACAAGUAUUAUAAAAGUUAAGAGAUCAAACAAUGUAAAAAUUAAAUUUCAACUUCUAGCAUAAUAGAGGAAAUAAAAACAAAAUUAAACCUUACAAUAUUCUCCCCAGCCACGUAAAAUUAGCCAAAUGGUUAAAUUGCUUUUUAGGCCCUCUUAAAAAUUAAAAGAUUUAGUACUUAGAAUUUUAUCUCCGUAAUUUCGAAAAGAAAAGGGUUAGUCCAAGUAAAAUGUAGAAGAAUAGGAAUAGUGCUUAUGCCGUGAGCUUUCUUCUAAGCCUCAUUUAAAAUCAGUUUAUGAUUAGUCACCAUAGUCUCUCCUUUUGCCAAUUUUUUAUUAUUGUCGUUGUGUCAUGCUAUAGUUGAAGACGACUACAUCUAACUCUCAGCACCAAAUUUGCAACACAUACUAUAAAUUCAUUAUGUCUCAAAUUGAUGCCAUCUUUAACAAAGUCUUCAACCUUCAACGUUCAAGCUCCUCCUUUCUCCAUUUGACCUUUAAGUUCUCUCCUAUGAAGUGUACAGGCCCUAUUUUGCCCGGGCCCAAGUGAAAAACAAACCAAAAUAUAAAAUAUAAAAAAAUCCAUUACAGUCCAAACAAAUGGCCCAACUAGCCCAAAAAAAUCAAGCCCGGUAAGCCCAAAAAUUAAACACAAUCAGAGAAACCCUAGGUUUCCCUACCCCUUUUGCGCCGCAGCCAACCCCUGGCGCCGUACGCCUUCUGCAGCCUGACCCAUGUGCGCCCUCGGCACGUACACCGCCCGAAGCCUGGCAGCCUUUCACCAAAACGGCAAAAAGCCGUGAAAUCCGCCCUCGUCAACGUCUCCAGCUGGCCGAACCUGCAAGAAAAAGAAAGAAAGGACCACAAAAGCAGAAAAACAGCAACAGAGAACAGAACACAGUAGUGUGUAAUCGGCUAUAAGAGCCGAAUGAAAUGUAAUGUAAAAGGGGUUUUUUUUUUUCAGAAAUAAGAAGAAAAAGAAAUAAAAGAACAGAGAUCGAAUUCUGAGAAAGUUUUGAGGUCCGAAUCUUUCAUUUUUUUUCAUUAUUUUGUUUUUAUUUUUAUUUUAUAUACGCAUCUAUAAAUCGAAAAUAAAUUAAAAAAAGGGGAAAGCCUUACCUGCGCCGUGCCGGAGGAGGAGAAGCCGAACGGUUUCCCUUCGGUUCUAGGGUUCGUGGCCACCUUUCCAAGGAUUCAACCUUGAAUCCGGGUUCUAGGGGUGACGAGCUUUAAGCGGGGCUAAGAAAGGGCCGACUUUGCAGCUCCGACCGCCACUUGCGGCGGAGCUGCGGCGGAGAUACGGCGGAGGUGCGCCGGAGCCCUCGAUCGGAGACCUAGGCCGGUCUAGCGGGAAGGCUGAGAGGGAAUCUUCUGGUUUUUGUUUUUGAAAUAAAAGGAGAAAUGAGGAUUCUUUAAGAAAAAAUUCGUUUUUAUACUAUUCCAAAACGGCGCCGUUUAAUCAGGGGUUUUUAGCGCUAAAACGGCGCCGUUCUGCUCGACCCGUGCGCCACCCGACCCGUUUGCUACGAGGAUCCGCG